CCUACGGGGGGCAGCAGUGAGGAAUAUUGGUCAAUGGACGAGAGUCUGAACCAGCCAAGUAGCGUGAAGGAUGACUGCCCUAUGGGUUGUAAACUUCUUUUAUAUGGGAAUAAAAUGUUCCACGUGUGGGCUUUUGUAUGUACCAUAUGAAUAAGGAUCGGCUAACUCCGUGCCAGCAGCCGCGGUCAUACGGAGGAUCCGAGCGUUAUCCGGAUUUAUUGGGUUUAAAGGGAGCGUAGGUGGAUUGUUAAGUCAGUUGUGAAAGUUUGCGGCUCAACCGUAAAAUUGCAAUUGAUACUGGCAGUCUUGAGUACAGUUGAGGUAGGCGGAAUUCGUGGUGUAGCGGUGAAAUGCUUAGAUAUCACGAAGAACUCCGAUUGCGAAGGCAGCUUACUAAACUGCCACUGACAUUGAUGCUCGAAAGUGUGGGUAUCAAACAGGAUUAGAUACCCUAGUAGUC
rnacentral:rRNA from 1 species